rnacentral:lncRNA from 1 species
CGGGCAGCGCCGAGUGCGGCGGGGCCCGAGGAUGGUGCGGUGAUGGGGACCGCCGGGCUGCCGGGCUGGGGGUGCUGCUGGGUCCCUCUUCCUCUUUGCUUUCGGUUUCGAAGCGGCUGCCCCGGCUGGAGAGCGAGCCGCAGAUUAGAAGGGACACAUGGAAGCCUCCAGCCUACCAGCCAAGGAUCAGCUGAGCCCUGGGGCUGGUGCUUGCCUACACUGCUGAGAAUGGCACCAAGGCCCAGCCAGGCACCAGGACAAAGGUUAACCCGGGACACUCCUGGACAGUGAUCCUGAUGUCUGUUCUGAGCCGUGCACUUAAAGGUCUGACAAGAGAAAGAGAGGCCAACGUCCAGUGAGCUGCUGGUUCUUCCUGAUGCAGGCCUUCGCAGGGCUUUGGUCCCAGUGCUGAGCCAGGAGGUACUGGGAGAGUCUGGGGCAAAGGAGUUUAGGUGGGGGGAGGAUGGGGGUCUGUUGGGCCAGCACAGGGUGGGGGAUCUUGUCCUAACUCAACGUUUAAGCACUCUUGCAAGUAUUAACAAUGGGUUCAGGGAGUGGAGUUUUGAAAAUCCAG